rnacentral:rRNA from 1 species
UACGGAGGGAGCUAGCGUUAUUCGGAAUUACUGGGCGUAAAGCGCACGUAGGCGGCUUUGUAAGUAAGAGGUGAAAGCCCAGAGCUCAACUCUGGAAUUGCCUUUUAGACUGCAUCGCUAGAAUUGUGGAGAGGUAAGUGGAAUUCCGAGUGUAGAGGUGAAAUUCGUAGAUAUUCGGAAGAACACCAGUGGCGAAGGCGACUUACUGGACACAUAUUGACGCUGAGGUGCGAAAGCGUGGGGAGCAAACAGG